GCUGUGUCUGGGAUUACAAUGUCACUGUUUCCUGGGAUGUAAUACAGGCUGAUCUGGGAGGCGAUGGGCUGUCUAUACUGUGAUCUCUACACAGAGCUGGGGCUGUUCCUCCCUUGAUUUGGGGAGGAAGGAGGUAGGGUGGCUGAGCUGUCACCCUUCCCGUCUGAGUGGGGAUGGAUCCACAUUAGCUGGGAGAGGACAUGAUGGUGACUGGUGUGGUGUUUUUCAGAUUGAUGGCCUGGAGGAGAAGCUGGCGCACUGCAGACAGAGCAUGGAGGAGGUGGAUGUGAAACUGCGCAGGGAGAAGCUCAGCCCUGAAGGAAGAAAGUCACUGGAGAGAGAGAGAAACUUACUAAUGACCAAAGCUGACAACUAUGGUAAGAGCU
rnacentral:lncRNA from 1 species